CUUUCAACAACGGAUCUCUUGGUUCUGGCAUCGAUGAAGAACGCAGCGAAAUGCGAUAAGUAAUGUGAAUUGCAGAAUUUAGUGAAUCAUCGAAUCUUUGAACGCACAUUGCGCCCCCUGGCAUUCCGGGGGGCAUGCCUAUUCGAGCGUU
rnacentral:rRNA from 1 species